rnacentral:rRNA from 1 species
CUACGGGGUGCAGCAGUGAGGAAUAUUGGGCAAUGGGGGGAACCCUGACCCAGCCAUCCCGCGUGAAGGAUGACUGCCCUAUGGGUUGUAAACUUCUUUUGUACGCCAGGAAUGGCCCCGAUGUAUCGGGGUUUGACAGUAGCGUACGAAUAAGCACCGGCUGAACUCCGUGCCAGCAGCCGCGGUAAUGACGGAGGGUGCAAGCGUUAUCCGGAUUUAUUGGGUUUAAAGGGUGCGCAGGUGGCUAAUUAAGUCAGUGGUGAAAGUAUGCCGCUUAACGGUAUGACUGCCAUUGAUACUGGUUAGCUUGAGUAUGGUUGAGGCAGGCGGAAUGUGCGGUGUAGCGGUGAAAUGCAUAGAUAUCGCCCAGAACGCCGAUUGCGAAGGCAGCUUGCUAAGCCAUUACUGACGCUGAGGCACGAAAGCGUGGGUAGCGAACAGGAUUAGAUACCCCUGUAGUC